AUAAAGCAGAGAAACAUAAGCAUCAUCUACACACAGGAACCCGACGCCUGAUGACAGCUUGGGCUUCACGUGGGACCCUACGACCCAGGAGACAAGACAUUAUCGCCUGAACCUCAAUACUAAUCCUGUUAUGGAGGAGGAAAGCCGGAAGGAGGUCUUAGAUUUUUGGGCGACACUUCCGUUGUUGGAGAACGUCAUCCUGGACCCUGGGAAAGUCACCGAUCUCGGACGCUAUUGGCUGGAAUUGACCAAUCAGAGACCUCAGUCGCUAGUCAGAUCGGAGAACGAGGCACCCACGAAACCAACCAAACAUCGCGCACGAGAUGAGCUCUGAAGGGCACGCAUUUCAUUUCUGGAUUAAUUUUUAAAAAAUGAAGAGUAGUUUGCUAGAGUUGUAUAUAAACAAUUUCCAGAAUAAAUACGCGAGUAAGA